AGCCCAUGGUGUGGACAUCUUUAAAGUAAAUCCUUAAAUCUCGUCCAAGAUUUAUACAAAGAUUCACCAUCAAAUUGUGUAAUAGCAGUUAUAUCAUCCCUAAUAUU
rnacentral:snoRNA from 1 species